rnacentral:rRNA from 1 species
GACGAACGCUGGCGGCGUGCUUAACACAUGCAAGUCGAACGGAAAGGCCCUGCUUUUGUGGGGUGCUCGAGUGGCGAACGGGUGAGUAACACGUGAGUAACCUGCCCUUGACUUUGGGAUAACUUCAGGAAACUGGGGCUAAUACCGGAUAGGAGCUCCUGCUGCAUGGUGGGGGUUGGAAAGUUUCGGCGGUUGGGGAUGGACUCGCGGCUUAUCAGCUUGUUGGUGGGGUAGUGGCUUACCAAGGCUUUGACGGGUAGCCGGCCUGAGAGGGUGACCGGCCACAUGGGGACUGGGAUACGGCCCGGACUCCUACGGGAGGCAACAGUGGGGAAUAUUGCACAAUGGGCGGAAGCCGGAUGCAGCACCGCCGCGUGCGGGAUGACGGCCUUCGGGUGGUAAACCGCUUUCGCCUGUGACGAAGCGUGAGUGACGGUAAUGGGAAAAGAAGCACCGGCUAACUACGU